UACGGAGGGUGCAAGCGUUAUCCGGAUUUACUGGGUUUAAAGGGUGUGUAGGCGGACUUUUAAGUCAGCGGUGAAAUCUCCGGGCUCAACCCGGAAACUGCCAUUGAUACUAUUGGUCUUGAAUGUUGUUGAGGUGGGCGGAACGGGUCAUGUAGCGGUGAAAUGCAUAGAUAUGACCCGGAACACCGAUUGCGAAGGCAGCCCACUAAGCAACGAUUGACGCUGAGGCACGAAAGCGUGGGAUCAAACAG
rnacentral:rRNA from 1 species